rnacentral:rRNA from 1 species
CGGAUUGUAAACUCCUGUUGUUGAGGAAGAUAAUGACGGUACUCAACAAGGAAGUGACGGCUAACUACGUGCCAGCAGCCGCGGUAAAACGUAGGUCACAAGCGUUGUCCGGAAUUACUGGGUGUAAAGGGAGCGCAGGCGGGAAGACAAGUUGGAAGUGAAAUCCAUGGGCUCAACCCAUGAACUGCUUUCAAAACUGUUUUUCUUGAGUAGUGCAGAGGUAGGCGGAAUUCCCGGUGUAGCGGUGGAAUGCGUAGAUAUCGGGAGGAACACCAGUGGCGAAGGCGGCCUACUGGGCACCAACUGACGCUGAGGCUCGAAAGUGUGGGUAGCAAACAGGAUUAGAUACCCUGGUAGUCCACACCGUAAACGAUGAUUACUAGGUGUUGGAGGAUUGACCCCUUCAGUGCCGCAGUUAACACAAUAAGUAAUCCACCUGGGGAGUACGACCGCAAGGUUGAAACUCUGG